CAAGGACAUGCUGUGUGUAACCAGACUAAGAGCUCUGGGUUCCCACUGUUUGGUUCUGUCUGAUCAGAGCUGACACUUUCAAACUGAUCUUUGGAGGAGUCUUUGUCUCCUGGUGAAAACUCAGAGAGAGAGAACUAACAGAUGACAUGUAAUAGAUAAGCCUACAACAUCAGACAGAUAGAGGAAUACUGGCUGACAUGGUCCAACCAGCUCAAAUACCACACCUUGUGCAACUGACCACAACCAGAUGUUUGUGGAGCAUAUCGUCAUUACCUGGAAAGGAUGUGCCACCAGAGAACUCAGACAUUCAACAGGGUAAUCUUGAAAGAGCUGGAUUUUCAGAGAGAGAAGGAAGGUAACAUGCUACCUGGAAACCAGAUAUUAGAGUUAC
rnacentral:lncRNA from 1 species